GAUGAACGCUGGCGGCGUGCUUAACACAUGCAAGUCGAACGGAAAGGCGCCUGCUUGCAGGGGUUCUCGAUUGGCGAACGGGUGAGUAACACGUGGGGGAUCUGCCCUGCACUUCGGGAUAAGCCUGGGAAACUGGGGCUAAUAUCGGAUAGGACGAUUGUUUGGAUGCCAUUGUGGAAAGUUUUUCGGUUUGGGGUGAGCUCGUGGCCUAUCAGCUUGUUGGUGGGGUAAUUGCUUACCAAGGCGCCGACGGGGGGCCGCACUGGGAGGGUGUAAGGCGGCCUUGACACUGAGGGACGGCCCAGGCUCCGACGGGAGGCAGCAGUGGGGAAUAUUGAACAAUGGGCGCAGGCCUGAUGCAGAGGCGCCGCGUGGGGGAUGACGGCCUUAGGGUUGUAAACUCCUUUCGUCAGGAACGAAGCGAAAGUGACGGUACCUGGAUAAGAAGCACCGGCUAAAUACGUGC
rnacentral:rRNA from 1 species